rnacentral:rRNA from 1 species
UACGUAGGGUCCAAGCGUUGUCCGGAAUUAUUGGGCGUAAAGAGCUCGUAGGCGGUGUGUCGCGUCGGAUGUGAAAGCCCGGGGCUUAACCCCGGGUCUGCAUUCGGUACGGGCAUGCUGGAGUUCGGUAGGGGAGACUGGAAUUCCUGGUGUAGCGGUGAAAUGCGCAGAUAUCAGGAGGAACACCGGUGGCGAAGGCGGGUCUCUGGGCCGAUACUGACGCUGAGGAGCGAAAGCGUAGGGAGCGAACAGG